ensembl:lncRNA
CAUAGGUAAAACUGUCAAUCUUCAGUGAUUCAUUGAGUUGGGACUUUCUAGAUUCAUGAAGAUAACUAAUAGCACCUAGGACCAAAGUUUCAGUGGGCAGGGAUGACAAAGAAGAGAAUAUAAAUUUGGUUGUGACUGUUGCUGCACCGGACACAUUUGUUGGCAAUGUUUUGGGUAUGUUUGAAGUUUCUGGUUGCAAACUUGAAGUACUUUGAAGUGUUGCAUCUGCUUUUGUUGUAUUGUUCAGAGGUGUAGUAUUGCUAGUAAGAGUUUCAGCUGCUAUUGGUUUUAUGGAUGUGUGACCUGAAAUUGUAGAUGCUGGUGAUGUUGACGUAUUGUUGUUUGGACCUGAUGCUAUUGGAAAUUCUGGAAAUUCUGCUGUGUUAGUGAAACCUGUAAUAAUUCCAGUGGUAGUUGUUGAUGCAGUUGUGGUUUCUGAAUCCAAGUUUGGGCUUGAAGUUGUUUUGGUUGAAAGUGCAAGUGUGGCUGGAGCAGAAGAUGUACUGGUAAAAGCGACAGUUGUUUUUAAAAGAUCUCCUGAUGUUAGUUGAAAGGCAGUUGUUGUUUGAGUUGCAGUUGAGCUUGGAAUGGUGGCAGUUGCUGUGCUUGGAGCUGUAGCUGAGAUAUCAGCUGGAACUGUAGUGGUGGCCAGAACAUUCAUGGUUGUAAUGGGUGCAGAUGGGGUUCUUGGAGGUUCAGUUGUUUUUGUUGGAGUUAAAGUUGGUAAUAUAGUUACAUGUGAUGAGGAGAUAGGCAAAAUUGUUACAGCAAUAGUUAUGAUCUCUGGAGACACAGUUGUGAUUAUUGGAGGUGCAUUUGUCGUGGUAAUGAGUGUUGCCUGGCUUAGAGCUGGAACUGUAUUUGUGAAAGCAACAGUUGUGCUUGAUAGAGGUACAGUUGUUAUUUGGAAUGCAGUUGUUGUUGCCACUGAAGGAGUGUUCUUGCUUGAUGUUGUUGGAUCAUUAGUUGUUUUAGAUGUGGUUGAUGAAGCUGUAGUUGCGGUCUCUGCUGUUGUACUUUCUGAAGUUGUAGGCAGUGUUGUUGAAGUAAUGGGUGUGGUUUUUGUACUCACAACUGUGGAGGUGGGAUUUCAUUGGGGAUGCUGUAGUUAUUGAUCUUGUUACAGGUGCAGUUGUUUCUGAAGAUGUAGGCAUUGUUGAAGUAAGAGUUGUGGAUUCAGAAGUUACAGCUGUUGAUGUUGUUGGAUCAUGUGUUGCAGUAGAUGUGGUUGAUAAAGCUGUAGUCGUGGUUUCUGCUGUUGUACUUUCUGAAGUUGUAGUCAGUGUUGUUGAAGUAGUAGUUGUGGUGGUCUCUGUACUCACAACUGUGGUUGUUGGAAUUUCGCUAGUUGACAAUCCUUUAGUUGCUGAUGUUGUUACAGGUGCAGUUGUUUCUGAAGAUGUAGGUAUCGUUGUUGAAGUAAGAGUUGUGGAUUCUGAAGUUACAGCUGUUGAUGUUGCUGGAUUGUUUGUUUUUGUAGAUGUGGUUGAUGAAGCUGUAGUUGUGGUUUCUGCUGUUGUACUUUCUGAAGUUGUAGGCAGUGUUUCUGAAGUAGUAGUUGUGGUCUCUGUACUCACAACUGUGGUUGUUGGAAUUUCACUAGUUGACAAUCCUUUAGUUGCUGUUAUUCUUACAGGUGCAGUUGUAUCUGAAGAUGUAAGCAUAGUUGUUGAAGUAAGAGCUGUGGAUUCUGAAGUUACAGCUGUUGAUGUUGCUGGAUUGUUUGUUAUUGUAGAUGUGGUUGAUGAAGCUGCAGUUGUGGUCUCUGCUGUUGUUCUUUCUGAAGUUGUAGGCAGUGUUGUUGAAGUAAUAGUUGUGGUUUCAGUCCUCACAACUGUGGUGGUGGGAAUUUCAGUAGUUGAGGAUGCUGUAGUUACUGAUGUUGUUACAGGUGCGGUUGUUUCUGAAGAUGUAGGCAUUGUUGAUGUAAGAGUUGUGGAUUCUGAAGUUACAGCUGCUGAUGUCGUUGGAUCAUUUGUUGUUGUAGAUGUGGUUGAUGAAGCUGUAGUUGCGGUCUCUGCUGUUGUACUUUCUGAAGUUGUAGGCAGUGUUGUUGAAGUAAUGCGUGUGGUUUCGGUCCUCACAACUGUGUUGGUGGGAAUUUCAGUAGUUGAGGAUGCUGUAAUUACUGAUGUUGUUACAGGUGCAGUUGUUUCUGAAGAUGUAGGCAUUGUUGAAGUAAGAGUUGUCGAUUCUGAAGUUACUGCUAUUGAUGUUGUUGGAUCAUUUGUUGUUGUAGAUUUAGGUGACAAAGCUGUAGUUGUAGGCAGUGUUGUUGAAGUAGUAGUUGUGGUCUCUGUACUCACAACUGUGGUUGUUGGAAUUUCACUAAUUGACAAUCCAUUAGUUGUUGAUAUUGUUACAGGUGCAGUUGUUUCUGAAGUUGUAGGAAUUGUUGUUGAAGUAAGUGUUAGGGAUUCUGAAGUUACUACUGUUGAUGUUGUUGGAUUGUUUGUUAUUGUAGAUGUGGUUGAUGAAGCUGUAGUGGUGGUUUCCACUGUUGUAAUUUCUAAAGUUGUAGGCAAUGUUGUUGAAGUAAUAGGUGUGGUCUCUGUACUUACAACUGUGGUUGUGGGAAUUUCUGUAGAUGAGGAAGCUUUAGUUACUGAUGUUGUUACAGGUGCAGUUGUAUCUGAAGAUGUAAGCAUAGUUGUUGAAGUAAGAGUUGUGGAUUCUGAAGUUACUGCUGCUGAUGUUGUUGGAUCAUUUGUUGUUGUAGAUGUGGCUGAUGAAGCUGCAGUUGUGGUCUCUGCUGUUGUUCUUUCUGAAGUUGUAGGCAGUGUUGUUGAAGUAAUAGUUGUGGUUUCAGUCCUCACAACUGUGGUGGUGGGAAUUUCAGUAGUUGAGGAUGCUGUAGUUACUGAUGUUGUUACAG